UGACCUGGGCUACACACGUGCUACAAUGGGAAGUACAACGAGUCGCGAAGUCGCGAGGCUAAGCUAAUCUCUUAAAGCUUCUCUCAGUUCGGAUUGCAGGCUGCAACUCGCCUGCAUGAAGCCGGAAUCGCUAGUAAUCGCGGAUCAGCACGCCGCGGUGAAUACGUUCCCGGGCCUUGUACACACCGCCCGUCACACCACGAGAGUUUGUAACACCCGAAGUCGGUGAGGUAACCUUUUGGAGCCAGCCGCCUAAGGUGGGAUAGAUGAUUGGGGUGAAGUCGUAACAAGGUAGCCGUAUCGGAAGGUGCGGCUGGAUCACCUCCUUUCUAAGGAA
rnacentral:rRNA from 1 species